CGUGAAUGUCUAAUAUGCGAGAGCGGUAUGAAAAAUGUUUUUCGGUCAAAGUGCGAAAUUUAAUGCGGAUCCGAACUCCUCUUUAUGCAGAUUAGACCCGUGAGUUCUAUGCCAAAGGUGAAACACAGUUGCGAAAUUUAAAAAAUAUUUGGAAGGCAGGCGAAACCAGGGCGAAACGUCCAGUGCAACAAGUACUCCCGGACGAUCACACUUCGUGCUGUUAUGAAGGAACUAGUCAGAGAAACAGUCACGUACACCUCGAAAUACUGCACAUUAAAGUAACACAACUAAAAUGGUUUCGUUGAAUGCCGUACACUAAACUCUAAGGAGUUACUGUGAGCUUUCUCUAGAUGAAAUCUCAUGUGGUAAUGGCAAAAAUGAAUAAAACAAGUCCAAAAUGUUAACUGGCGACUUCCAUGAAAUCCGGCAAACGCUGUAGUCAGAAGACGACCUCGACCAUAACCCCAUUUUACACUCACAUCUAGAACCCAUUAACUCUAGUUAUGGUUGCACCCUCGGGUCAUCAGUAAUGGGGUGCGGAAACUUCAGGGAAAUUUCAUAACUCGUCCUUGUCAGAUUUAUUUUUCCUAUGCCUCCUCUUUUACAAUUUUUCUGGGCACCUGUCACCCACUACUAGACUCCUUACCUCUCCUUGCCCCCAGUGACCAAUAAAGUUAAGUAGCAACUUAAUGGAAAUUCA